UUUCUUUUAUCUUUCUUACAUUCACACACGAGCGUGCUCUCUCUCUCUCUCCAAUUAAACUCCUCUCUCUCUCUCCAAUUAAACUCGUUUCAGUUUCUUCGUAACCUAUCAAAACCCUAAUUGACAGUCAUAUUCAAUCAAAAUUGGAGUUUUUCAUACCUAUCAAAACCAUAAUUGAAAUAUCAACCAUGACAGAGAGGCAGCGAAACCAGGCAGUGGUUGUGUCUAGCGGCGGCAGUGGUGGUCUAAUGUUGAUGGUGGAGGAGUCGCGGCGGCGGUGGUUUUGUGGUUAUGAUCAAUCUUCAACACUACCCAUCUGUACUUAUGUCAUCUUCCUCAAGAUCUACAUAUAUAAUGAGAACGGUUUACGUGUUUGAAAGUCCCAAAGGAACAAAAAUUUUCAAAAGUGGCUAGGGAUUUGAUUUUUCAUUUGCCAUGUGAUGUGGAAUCAAGGUUAGGUACCGGUGGAAUUGAAGAAACAAAGGUAAGUAGACUAUAAAGUAUGAUAUUUUUUUCUAAGGGUAUAAAACCAGGUAUUAUUAGCAUUUUUUAGAUUUGUUUUAUAAAGUUUUGUGAUGAUUGUUUCAAUCCGAUUUAUAUAUCUUGAUACCGUGAAACUGGUUAGAGAGCCUAUGAAACCGUUGCGAAGUGAUUGGGAUUUGGCUCUUGAACUGUUGAAGUAUAAGUCACAUCAAGGGAUUAGGGUUUUGUUGUUGGUUUGGGAUGAUAAAACUUCAAACAAGUUCUUUAUUACGACAGUAUGAAUCUGUCUUUAGUUCGUAUUCAUCGAUAUUUAGUUGACUUUCGACCCGUCAUAAAUAUUGCAUAACCUGAUUCUGGCUUCUUUUUUAUGAUUUUUGAUAGACAAGACAACUUAUUUUAUGGUAGUUAUCUGUUAAUCAUAAUAUUAGUUUAUAUGUAUCUGUGUUACAUUUCUCUAAUAUAUAUAUAGAUUUUCUUGCAAGUUUACAGUCUGCACAUGACAGUUUCGGUUUCAAUUUUUUGUUUCCAUUUGGUCGGCUUAGUCGGUUUUGCUUCGGUUGAGUUUUGAUUUUUAGUUUCGAUUUAAUCGGUUUUUUUUGUUUCUGUUUCAUUUCGGUUUUUUUAGUUUCGUUUCGGUAUUUGACGUAUUUUUCACAGAGAAAGCAAGUUGCAGUGAUGAAUUAAUGGAUUAUAGGUUAACUCUUCUGUUAUUGGCUUUAUUCAAGAAAGGUUCCCGUGAUGCUAACCGUAUACAUAUAGACUUUCAUGUAUAUGUUCACACCCACCAACUGUUUGAUAUAAUUCCUCAAUGAGAUGUUUUCACAGUCUCAGUAAUAUGAGUUGUUUUCAUAGUCUCAUUACUGAUUCAUACAGAAGUACAACAUAUAUAUUCUCUCAUUCUCUUUCCUUUAUACAACCUGUAAUUUGAAUCACGGGUAAAGAGAUUCAAAUGGGUUCUGGUACCACUGUUUACAAGUUUCGUCUCAAGCGUAUGGAAUGGCAGCCUUCACUGGUGACUGAACAGGUUUACUUUGCUUGAGGGCGUAUCCCAGACAAAGUUUCUGAAUUACGCGGGUUGGUUUGUGAGGACAUCAGUGGAGGCCUUGAUAAUAUUCUCAUUCCAGCAACCAAUUUGGUCGAUGAUCCACCCGUUCCACCUACUGGCAAGUUAUCCUGCACUUAAUUGGGUUUUUUUUUGUUAAAUUUUGUUUUAACUAUGUUUCUUUACUGACUUCCUAUUUAGCAAGUGCGAUGGUUUUAGGCGUACCUUAUAUUUUAUACAUACAUAAUAUAUUCCUAUGUGCUCCAAAUUGAUUACUAAAAAAGUCCAACAAACCCCUAACCUUUUUAAACUUAUUUCUCCAUAUAUGUAGAUGCUCCCCUUGUAUGAAAACGGGUCAAGAAUAUCAAUGAUUAUUUUUAGUGGCUGCUGUUACCGAGUAAAAUAAAUAGUUCAAUUUGGCAAAACAACAUUCUCAUUCAUCUCAUAUGAUUUAUUAAAGUUAUGUGUUUUACAACAGCUUUAGAUGAGUAUGGCUCUUUGUUACUGUUAUGGUUCUAAUUCUUAGUUACACAGAUGAAUGAUAUAGUUUUUAAGUUGGUUUUUAAUUAUAUUAUAACUUUUUUUUUGUAAUUAUUAUCUUUAAGCAUUUCAAUAACUUUCAGUUCUCUUAUCAUUGUUGUUCUAAACUUUCAUUUUUUAGCAGGUGAUCAUUAUUUUCAUUUUGUUAGCAUAGUAAAAUAUGUAUAUUAAGAACAUGCAAUAGUAGCUUGAGAGUGUGUUAAGGGUUCUUAUUUAUUAGGACCAUAUGCAUAAACACUGCAAUCCCAUACCCGUGAUUUUUUUUCAAUCCUAUACCCAACCUCUUACCCGUCGGGUAUCGAGUAUACCUAUCCCAAAUGAUUCAGGUAUACCCAUCGGGCUCGGGUUACAAAAUUAGCGAUCUCUACUGAUGUGGUGCCUUAAGUCAAUAUUUUUGUUUUAACUUUGAGCCUUUUUUGUAAAAAAAUUUGAAAGUUUUAAGCUACUUGUGAGCAAAGAAAGAAAUGAAUUCCCAUAGGUAUAAAACUAUGAUUAUAGUUCAACAAGACUUUAGAAGUUACAAUAUGGAUGGUGAUCGGUUUAGGUUGUUUUUUAAACUUAAAAACUGACAUGAUGGCCACUUUUUGUAGUUUAUUUGGGUUUAGGUUGUUUUUUAAACUUAGAAAUUGACAUGAUGGCCAUUUUUUUGUAAUGUUUAUGUGGGUUUAACAUAUAUUAUUGAUAGCGAUUAAAACACAUAUAGUAAAUUCAUUUUACGUACAUCUUUUGUAACUUUUCAUUUUAUUUUAUAUGGCCUGCAUUAUGUCUUGGCUUGGGCUGUGCUCUUAUUCUGGAAUGGCCAUCAGUCUGGGCUCAAUUACUUCGGUUCCGGUGUGACGGGUUCUAUGAUGACUAGAGCCCACAUAAUCAGCUGGGGGCACGGUUUCUUGCGUUUACGGAAGGCCCAAACCUAGCCUGAUUGUCCUACAAAAAGAACCCGGGUUUGGGAUUUCCGAAAGUGGUUUAAUUUUCAAGCGAAGGCCCAAUACAGGGUUCUUAUUGUGAAGACCAGGGCCCACCUUCGUCGUUUGGGCUUGGUGAUGUUGGGCUUGGUUUACGAGUGGUUUAAUCAGCAGUGUGUGCCCGCUUAUAUAACUACUUAUUGGCUUUGUAGUGGGUGGGAAAGGAUAAAAUGUCUAAAAGCUUUGGCCAGGCUCUGUUUAAUGGAGAAGGCUCAAGCAAGGGUUGGGCCACUGAUGGAAAUCAAGCACAUAUCGGCCCAACUUAAAAACGUCUUGUUGGACAUCUUUUUUGUGGUUUGUGCAAAGGCUCUAACGAUGAAGAUAAAGAGGACAAAUGUAGUUUACAAAGAAGUUUUUCCUGAUCUGUGAUGUUCAUGUACCGUAAUAUUUUAAAUUUUUUAGUUCAGUAUAAAUAUAAUGUUUAUACGUUUA